rnacentral:rRNA from 1 species
ACGAACUGCGCAAACGUUAUUCGGAAUCACUGGGCUUAAAGAGUGCGUAGGCGGCUUUGUAGGUGGGGUGUGAAAUCCCUCGGCUCAACCGAGGAAUAGCGCUCCAAACCACAAAACUUGAGGGAGAUAGGGGUGAGCGGAACUGAUGGUGGAGCGGUGAAAUGCAUUGAUAUCAUCAGGAACACCGGUGGCGAAGGCGGCUCACUGGAUCUCUUCUGACGCUGAGGCACGAAAGCUAGGGGAGCGAACGGG